CUGCCCCCUGCCUGCACCGCCACAUGUCUGAGGAGGCUCCAUCUGACCCCCCGAGCACCCAAGGUGAGAGUUAUGACUUUCCGCCAAUUACCCAUGGCCCUCAAGUCAGCCCCCAAGACACUCUACCCACUCUCCAGACUCAAUAUGUGAGUGUCCCAAAGCUUCCCGUGCCCCCCAGUAAUCGCCGGAUCAGUAUCCAGACGCUUCCAUCAGCUGUCACCACUCGCCCCAUCCGUACCCAAGAGCUUCUAACACCUGUCCACAGCCUCCAGCCCAGUAUUGAAGAAUCUCCACCAACUAUCCACAGUCGCCGGGUCAGUAACCAAGACACUCCACCUGUUACCUAUGGCCGCCGGAUCAGUAACCAAGACCCUCCACCUGCUACCCAUGGUCGCCGAGUCAGUAUUCAAGAGCCGCGCCGAGUCAGUAUUCAAGAGCCGCUACCUACUACCCACGGUCGCCGGGUCAGUAUCCAAGAGCCAAUACCUACUGCCCACGGUAGCCAGGUCAGUAUUGAAGAGCCUCCACCUACUACCCGUACUCGCCGGGUUAGCAUCCAAGAGCCUCCACCUGCUAUCCGUACUCGGCGGGUCAGUAUCCAAGAGCCUCCACCUGCUACCUAUGGUCGCCGGCUCAGCAUCCAAGGGCCUCCACCUGCUACCUAUGGUCGCCGGCUCAGCAUCCAAGGACCUCCACCAACUAUCCCUACUCGCCGGCUCAGUAUCCAAGAAUCUCCACCAGCUGCCCACACUCACCGGCUCAGUAUCCAAGAAUCUCCACCAGCUGCCCACACCCCCCAGCUCAGUAUCCCAGAAUCUCCACCAGCUGCCCACACCCCCCGGCUCAGUAUCCCAGAAUCUCCACCAGCUGCCCACACCCCCCGGCUCAGUAUCCAAGAAUCUCCACCAGCUGUCCAAAGUCGCCAUCCCAGUAUCCAAGAAUCUCCAUCAACUGUCCAGAGUCGACAUCCCAGUAUCCAAAAAUCUCCACCAGCUAUCCAGAGUCGCCAUCCCAGUAUCCCAAAAUCUCCAACUCUCCAGAGUCGCCAUCCCAGUAUCCCAAAAUCUCCAACUCUCCAGAGUCGCCAUCCCAGUAUCCCAAAAUCUCCAACUCUCCAGAGUCGCCAUCCCAGUAUCCCAAAAUCUCCAACUCUCCAGAGUCGCCAUCCCAGUAUCCAAAAAACUCCAACUGUCCCCAGUCACCGGCUCAGUGUCCAAGAAUCUCCUCCCGUGAAGGAUAUCCAUUCAGCUUCCCAAAUCAGCCAAGCCAACAUCCGCCAGACAAAAACCCAGACUCCUGGCCUCACAAACAAACAAACCUGGCCCCAUGCCCAUGUCCCCCCAUCCAUCACCCAGAGCCCCACGGCCAGUAUUGAUAGCCUUGAAUCAGUUAACUGGAGCUCCCAGGUGACUCCCAAAGAAAAUGGACUCAGCUCCCAACUCGACCAGAGCAUUCCUAUCGGCACGCCCACCUUCUUGAUAGGCAGCUCCACCGGCAUCAAUUCUAGCAGGUUUCAGAAAAGCAGUAGCCGGCAGAUACGGUUGCCCAUAUGCUGGCGGCUGCUGCAUGAGGCCAGGAAGAUCAGCCGCCAGCUGAGCCUCGUGCUGACCUUGGUCGGCCUGGUGAUCAUCGGUCUCAUCUGUCUGGGCCAGCCCUGGGUGCACUUCCAGGUGCCACUGAGGCCCCCUGGGGACCCUGCCGGCACCCCAACCAUACCCAUCAACACCAUCCUCUUUGUGCGGUGCUCUGACAUGUCCUGCCUGAAGGAGUAUGACCAGUAUGCUUACUUGCUGGACCUCGCCUGGACCUUCCUCUUCUUCUCCAGCAUCACCAGCUUCUGCCUCUGUGUGGCCCUAGUCCUCCUCCUCUUCUUCACCAGUUCCAACCUGCCCGUGCUGGACUUCGUCCUCUUCAUCGGCAGCAUCAUGACAGGCACAGCAUUAAGACUUUUUCCUCAGGAGCCGAGACCCAUCAUGAAGCACAUCCCAUCCCCACCCUCGCCGUCUCUCCCAGCCCCGGUCCUCUCUCCUUCCCCGUGUCCAGCCCACCCCAAUAAAAGACAUCAGCCUCCACCCCAGCCCCACCUCCAGGCCCAAUACCAACCUCAACUUUAACUCGCAUCUCCAUUGCCCACAGAGCUCUAACUCAUCCACGCCCCCUUCCCUGAUGUCCGUCUCAUGCCCACCCGCUCCCCAUUCUCUCUCCUUUCCAAACAAAGCCCUAUCGCCUGGGAAUUUCAGCUUCACACUCAACCCCUGUCCAUCUCCAGCCUCCUCUUCUCCUUAGUCCCAACCUCCACCUCCAUCAGCUGUGAGCCUGACUCUCAAAAUCAACCCAACCCAUCCCCAGGUCCUUCCUCCUACCCCUAUCCACCCCAUCCUCCUCCCUUACCAUCCCCCCAACACAGCCUCUGCUCAGUAUCUUCCCCAAUCCGGUCCCUCCACCGAAACUGCCGGGGGCCAGCAUCGCACUGGGCGUCCUGUUCUACCUGUGGCAGGCCGACAGAUACCUGCAAGAAGGCAUGACAUACAAACUGGGGAUCAG